rnacentral:rRNA from 1 species
CGGGUGAGUAAUGUCUGGGAAACUGCCUGAUGGAGGGGGAUAACUGCUGGAAACGGUAGCUAAUACCGCAUAACGUCGCAAGACCAAAGAGGGGGACCUUCGGGCCUCUUGCCAUCGGAUGUGCCCAGAUGGGAUUAGCUAGUAGGUGGGGUAACGGCUCACCUAGGCGACGAUCCCUAGCUGGUCUGAGAGGAUGACCAGCCACACUGGAACUGAGACGCGGUCCAG